rnacentral:misc_RNA from 1 species
AGCUGAGAAGAGCGUUGGAAACCGCUACGAUGGUGCACGCGAUCGUUCCUAAGAGAAAUAAUCUGCUGUUAUUAAUGAGCUUCGUAUCGCUUUUCGGUCCAACUAGUGCAAGGUCGCUGGGUCUAUAUUUGGAUCAAAAUAAGUUAGUAGAGCUUCUUACAUCAAGCGGACCUUCACCCACAACACCACCUCUAGCCUCCAGUCCAUCAUUCACUAGCGCAAACCAAGUAGGAACUUCAGCUUCGGAGUCUGAAGUAAAGGAAGUGAUUUCAGCAAGUCAAUUAUGGCCCUUUUGGCCCCUCAUUGAAAGCAACAAAAGCCACGGUAAAAGUUCUAACCAAGAAGACGCCUGGGAGAUCUACAGAGUUUUCAAGAAAAUGUGUUGUGAGUUUUUGGUUAACGAAGAAUAUACUCACGCGGUUGAAGAAUACCUUGAACAAACGCGCAGGUCUGCACAGUUUAAAGACUUCAAAUCUAUUGGUUUGGACGAGUCACUUCUCAUGGAAAUACGGGCCUUCCUAAAUACCUUGCUUGCUAAUGCAUAAAUUUAAUUUUUGCGAGUUUCAAAAAUUUGCUCUAAUUCAUGCUGCAUUGCUUGGAUAUGAAUUAGAUAAUCGGUCAUGAUUGACCGAUUCACAGACAAAUUAUAGGUGGAAAUUAAUAGGAUUUGAUCAAUGAAAAGCAUGCUUAUGAGUCUAGGGGUAGACCACUUCAGAUUUAUACGCGUGUGAAGACUUGCAGUUAUGUAUCCUUAGUUCUAAGUGUUAGAGAAUAUUGGGAUAAACGUUCGCAUUCCACCCUUGAACUUAAUUUGCCGGGACGUAUUUUUGAUUAUAGGUAUUGCGAUCAUUCAUCUAUUGGCGGAAGUCGUGUUACUAGCCUAGAAAGUCGAAAAUAUAUCCUUAGACAAUAGAUCUUUGGAAUAAAUUAUUCACAUUUAUUCCAAUUAUUCAUUUAACAUACGCCAUUCAGAGAAUUACCACAGUCUCAUGGGUCAUCUUCUUUAACCUAUUCAGAUUUCAAAAUUGAAAGUCGUUUGCUGCAUCGAAACAAAAUUUGAUUUUUAGAAAUGCAGUUGCUUCCUUGAGCUGUUUCAUCAUUCACGUGAUUAGGGUUCAUCGCGUGUACGUUGGCGGUCUACUGUGAAAAUGAAUUCAAAUGAUUAGAAAAAUAAAAAAAGCAAUACGUUGUACGAUCGCAGUUAGAUUGAGAGUAAACUAUGAACUUGAAUUGCCUGUCACUCAUAUUGGAUUUUUAACAAAAUUUCGGUGGUUAAAUUCAUCAGUAGGCGACAGAAAAUUGUUAGGGUAAAUCGUCAGGAGCACCGUUGUUUACUAAAAUCCUGAAUUCAGCAGCGUUGAAAAGUGCAAGAUUUCAUAUCAGCGGAUCAGGAUACUUUGAUACGUUAUUCUGUAGAAUUCUGUAACUUGCAUGAUACGAAGGACCUACAACGGUGCAAUUAUUUAUAAAGUUCUACGGCCAUAUGAGCUUAAUCAGUGUAUUUAACCCAAUUUCGAUUGCAAGAAUAUGAAGCGGAAAAGUUUGAGAGGCAAAAUGUAGUGUUACUGCCUGUAGGCACGUUGAGGUUUGCGAAGAUCUAUCCGUAAAAA